CAUUACAUUCAUGGUACGAAAUCUAUUAGAAAUACCGUCGUUUUUAAUAGUAAAAUAAAAUAAUUAUUGCAUCUGCUUAGAUCGUACACGUCUUGUAUAAUAUGAUCUCAGAAUAAGAUAUAUAUAUAUUAGUCCGUGGUAGUGGGGAAGAACUACAGCGCGUCGCCCAAGGCCCGCGCCCCGCCGGCCACCGGUCGCUUUUGUUGUUAUUGUUUAUUUUAAUUAAUAUCUCAACAACCAUGUUGUUCGCACCUUGCACAACGGACGACUGCUUCCGGCUUGGCGGCUUCGCGAAUCCGCGAUUCCGCACUCGCAGAUAACGUGCACUUCGAUUUCACUAGUAAAUAUCAUAUUAUUAUUUAAUUUACGAACUCAUUGAAUUCAGUCGCAUUAUUGUUCGUUGUACACUCGUGUUUCGACGUCGACUUUAAUACGAAUCUUGAGAUUUUAAGGACGGAAAAGUAGUGGAUCGCAGACCGAAAAAAAGAAAAAUUAAACCUCGUGAUAAGAUUGAUGGACCUCUUGAUGGAUUCUUUUAGUGAAAGUUCAUCCAAAAUUGAUGUCCAUAUGCAAGAUCAUUAUAGUGAAUAUAUUAAUACUGAAUCAGAUUCUGGAUUUUUGAAUUGUCUUUUCGUACAUGAAAGAACCAUAGCGAAUACUUAAGUGGGACUUUGUAAAAUACAAUGCAAUCUGACUGUUGUCUAGUAUAUAAAAGGCGCUCCGAGGAAUCACUAUAUUUAUAGUGAAUCAGAUUCUGGAGAUUCAAAUUUCACUGUUGCUGAGUAGCAUGCUCAUGUUAGCAUGGUAUUUAGUAUGCAAAUGAAUUAGAGAAAUUGAAGAAGAAGAAGAGGAACAAUUAAUUGCCGUUGUCAGAAUGUCUGAAACAUAUUCUUUGAUUCCUAGAAUUCAUAAUCGACGUUUUUGUGUUUCCUGAAAACAACACAUUUUAUCACAAAGGAGGUUUGUUCCCAUUACCAACGAUUGAUUACAUUGUAUUGUCUUUUCAAGCUUGAAAGAACAGUGCAAGCAAUCAGUGCCAUAAAUUUUCAAACAGUCAAUGUUAUAACCGUGUAAAUUAUCAGUAUUUUUACUGCGUUACUGAUUGUAAAUUACCUUUAAAUAUGUAUAUUACACACAACUGUUAAAUUACCACAAUACACAAUUAUGAUGUACAUUUAUUCAAUAAGUAUUUGAUAUUAUAUUAUUACAUAUUAAAUAUUAA